rnacentral:rRNA from 1 species
CAUGGUCGUCGUCAGCUCGUGUCGUGAGAUGUUGGGUUAAGUCCCGCAACGAGCGCAACCCUCGACCUUAGUUGCCAGCAUUCAGUUGGGCACUCUAAGGUGACUGCCGGCUAAAAGUCGGAGGAAGUGGGGAUGACGUCAAAUCAUCAUGCCCCUUAUGACCUGGGCUACACACGUGCUACAAUGGGCGGUACAAAGGGUCGCGAACCCGCGAGGGGGAGCCAAUCCCAAAAAGCCGCUCUCAGUUCGGAUUGCAGGCUGCAACUCGCCUGCAUGAAGCCGGAAUCGCUAGUAAUCGCGGAUCAGCAUGCCGCGGUCGAAUACGUUCCCGGGCCUU